UUUUUAUAAUUAAAGGGCUGCAGUAUUUUGACUGUACAAAGGUAGCAUAAUCAUUAGUCUCUUAAUUGGUGACUUGUAUGAAAGAUUGGAUGAAAUAUAUACUGUCUCUUUAUUAAUUUAUAGAAUUUAAUUUUUUAUUUAAAAAGUUAAAAUUUUAUAAAAAGACGAGAAGACCCUUUAGAGUUUAAUAAUUAAAUUUAAUAAUAUUUAUUUGUUAAAUUAUUUAUUUUAUUAAAUUUAAUUAUUAUUUUGGGGUGAAAAAAAAAUAUAAAUAACUUUUUUAAAAUGAUUUUCAUAGAUAAGUGAUUUUUUGAUCCAAUAUUAUUGAUUAUAAGAUUAAAUUACCUAAGGGAUAACAGCGUAAUUUUUUUUUUUAGUUCAAAUAAAAAAUAGAGUUUGCGACCUCGAUGUUGGAUUAAGAUAAAAUUUAAAUGCAAAAGUUUAAAAUUUUUGAUCUGUUCGAUCAUUAAAAUCUUACGUGAUCUGAGUUCA
rnacentral:rRNA from 1 species